rnacentral:rRNA from 1 species
UAAUGCCGGAUAGGCAACUGGUAGGCAUCUACCGGUUGGGAAAGGUGCAACUGCACCGCAGAUGGAGGAGCCCGCGGCGCAUUAGCUAGUUGGUGGGGUAACGGCCCACCAAGGCGACGAUGCGUAGCCGACCUGAGAGGGUGACCGGCCACACUGGGACUGAGACACGGCCCAGACUCCUACGGGAGGCAGCAGUAGGGAAUCUUCGGCAAUGGGCGAAAGCCUGACCGAGCAACGCCGCGUGAGCGAAGAAGGCCUUCGGGUUGUAAAGCUCAGUCACCCGGGAAGAGCGGGCAGGAGAGGGAAUGCUCCUGUCGAGACGGUACCGGGAGAGGAAGCCCCGGCUAACUACGUG